GUGAGGGGCUGGGGGCGGGGCUCAGUGGUAGAGCCCCUGCCUAGUAUGCUGGGAGAAGAUCCUAGAUAUCCUAGAUAUAAUUCAAGGAGAGAGAGGGAGGGAUAGAUAGAGAGGGGAGGGAGCUGAGGCUCCCCGGAACAGGCAGGUGUCUGUCUGCCCAGUGGUCUCCAACCCUUUGGUCCGUCUGUCCUGCUGCGGGCUCACCUGGGUUGUCCACCCCAGUCUGGAUUACAUCAUCCAGAGUGAAGCCAGAUGGAGUCUCCUUAUCUCGGAGCUUAUUGUAGAGGUCAGGGGUCAGCACCUUGGCCAUGUGAUUGUUGUGUUUGCUGAGGUCUGGGUACUCCUCCUGCGCCUUGUAGUUCAGCUUGAACUUGUUGUGGGUGUUGCCGAACGGCAUGGCGGCGGACUUUGGGACCCUGCGAGCAGACAGGAUGAUGCACACAGACUUAAGAACCCAGUUGCUAGGGGCCUGCAGUCAGUCGAUUGAUUGUGGGCUUAAAACAAGAGGGGCAUCCCUCUCUGUGAGCCCCAGCCUUGUAAGGAAGCAUUAGGAGCCCAAGUUGCCUGAUGUGGCCACAUCGUGCCUGUGUGACCCUGCUGGGGACCCAGUGUCCCUAGCUGGGACGGAAGGGCAAAACCUUUUGUCCAAAGCCAAAUAAGGACAGUCACAUAAAUAACAACAACAACAACAACAACAACAAAAUACUGGAUCUGGGGUGGGGUUCCACUGCCAGAGAGCUUGUCCUGCAAACUUUGGACGCUGGCUUUGGUACCCCGCAAAAUCGGGUGUGGCUGCUCAUGCCUGUAAACCCAGACACCUAGAGUAUCAGAAAUUCAAGGUCAUCUUCAGCAAGGCCAGCCCGAGCUACAGGAAUCUCUACCUCAACCAAGAAGAACUGAAUACAGGCCUUGGCUGGGUGUGGCAGCCCAUGCUUGUAACUCCAGCACUCUGAGGCGGAAGCAGGAGGGUUGUAGGGCAUUCAAGGCUAGCCCGGGCCUCAGAAACCCUGCCUCCAGAAAAUAAAAUUAUAUAAAAUAACAAGAUGCAUAAAAGCAGCAAAGGAUCUGGAAUCAGGUGGUCUGGGUUCGAGUUUUGGCUUCUACUUCUGACAAGCUGUGUGACUCUGCGGAGCCUGUCUGACUCCUCUGUAAACUCAUCUGUAAAGUGCAGGCCACGGCUGUGCUUUCCUCGUGGGAGGGAUUUAAAGACGGGUAAAGCGCGGCCCGUGUGCCUUGCUUUUAUUGUUCUUGGGUCUGUGGUUGUUUGAAAUAUGUGAGCCUCACAGACUCACAUAUUUGAAUGUUUGGUCCCUGGUCGGUGGAAGUGUUUGGGAAGGAUUAGAAGGUGUGGCUUUGCAGGAGGUGUGUCACUGCUUGUGGGCUUUGAGGUUUCAAAAAGUCCACCCGCUCCCCAAGCAUCUCCCCAAGCAGCUCCCUCUCAGUCUCUUGGCUGAUGAUAAGGAUGUAGCUCUCAGCUGCGCCACCACCAUGCCCACCUGCCUGCCGCUCUAGAACCGUCAACCCCAAACUAAUGCUUUCUUCUUUUUAAGUUGUCUUGGUCAUAUUGUUUUGUCACAGAAAUUGAAAAUCAACUCCGACAAGCUCUGUGUGAGGACCGUGGUAAAGAUUAUAUGUGCACACCUGAGAAAAGUGGUAAAGGUUCCACUGAGAUUCUGACCCAAAUCAGUCCAGGUGCAGGCGUAGGAAUGAGUCCGGAGGCCUCAGCCAUCACUCCCUGUCCCUCCACCUCUGGCUGUCUACCAGGUCCACUUCCAAAGCCACAUCUCUCCUAAGCCACUGCUCUGUGGCCCCAGGCUGUGACUGGACCUCUCUGACACGUGUAUCAGCGAGACUGAAGCUCUCUCACCGGAAGGGCAGAGCUCUGAGCUCCAGCCCAAGACUGGCGAGUCCAUGACCAGCCGGACUGUCUGGCAUGAAGUCGCAGCUCGGAUUCUAACAGUUACUGUUAAUACUUCUGUUUGUACAUUGCAGGCUCACGCAUGUGCACAGGUGUGCACAUUCCAGUGGCGGCAAAGGCUGACCUCAGGUUCUGCGACAUUGUUGCCAUUUUUUAGAUUCUUUAUUUUAUCUUGAGGUAGGGCCUCUCACAGACCAGGAGCUAGGUUGGCUGGCCAUCAGGCCCAGGGCUCGGAUCCUCCUGUCCCUACCUCACCAGGGGAUUCAGAAGUUCUCCCCACAGAUAGCUGUUUUUUGUUUGUUUGUUUGUUUGUUUGUUUGUUUGUUUUUAGUUUUGUUUUCUUUUUCUAGAGUGUGAAUUCUGGGAUUUGAACUAAGCCAUAAGCUGCCCUGGUCACCUCCCCGUCACAUCCCUUGUUUUUUAUUGUUAUUGCUUUUCCUUAUUACCUUUAUCACUAGGCCCCUGAAGCACUGACCUUGGGGGGGGCGUCCUGCCUCCAUCAGGACUGGAAGGAGGCCCCAGGGAAAGAUAGGGUUUCUCUGUAGCCUUGGCUGUCCUGGAGCUCUCUCUGUAAACUGUCGACUGUGAAAGGCAGCCUGUGGCCUGCUUGAGCGAGGCUUACUCUGGAGAUGCGGUAGCGAAUUCUACAAGGGACGGAACCGUGAGCCACCAUGGAACUCCUGACACCACCAGGCCCUCAACUCUGUAAUUCUGUGGCAAUCAAUCACCUAGGGCCACGCCCCAAGCCCCUAGUAUUCUGGAUGGACUCCACCCCCACAGUCACCUGGCAACAGCCAGGAAGGCCUCCCAGCGCUUCAGCCCCAUCCUCCAGGGCAGAGCAGACCAAGGACUAGCCCGCCGCCGCCAGCCAGCCAGGGAAACGCCCAGCGCCCUCCCUGCCCCCUUCCCCUUCAGCCCUGGCCUGACCGAGCCGCCCCCACCCCACCCCACCCCCUCGUUCUCAGUUCUUCCCCUCCCUGAGGCCCAGGGACCCCGAGACUGCGCUCCUCUUCACCCGUGGGGUGUGGAGGCCUCACAUGGCCCAAUGUCCGGCGGUGGCCCAUGGGAUCGCGCGACAGUCUCCCGUGUAUGCCUGUCCAGUGCCGGGCGGGGGGCGGGGGCUCUGGCGGGACGCUGGUUCUGCCGCCCUUUAUGCCCCCAGGUCCUGCGCCCUAUAGUAAACCAGGAUGGUUUUGAACUCACAGACUCUGUCUCCCAGAGUGCUGGGGUUAAAGGCCCCAUGCCUGGCCCUGACUUUUUUUUCCAUUAAAAAAAUUACAUUUAUUUA